rnacentral:rRNA from 1 species
AUUGAACGCUGGCGGCGUGCCUAACACAUGCAAGCCGAGCGGUAACAGGUGUAGCAAUACAUGCUGACGAGCGGCGGACGGGUGAGUAACGCUUGGGAAUCUGCCUAUUAGUGGGGGACAACCCGGGGAAACUCGGGCUAAUACCGCAUACGCUCUACGGAGGAAAGCCGGGGACCGCAAGGCCUGGCGCUAAUAGAUGAGCCCAAGUCGGAUUAGCUAGUUGGUAGGGUAANGGCCUACCAAGGCGACGAUCCGUAACUGGUCUGAGAGGACGACCAGUCACACCGGAACUGAGACACGGUCCGGACUCCUACGGGAGGCAGCAGUGGGGAAUAUUGGACAAUGGGCGAAAGCCUGAUCCAGCGACGCCGCGUGGGUGAAGAAGGCCUGCGGGUUGUAAAGCCCUUUCAGUGGGGAAGAAAAGCCUCGACCUAACACGUCGGGGUCUUGACGUAACCCAUAGAAGAAGCACCGGCUAACUCUGUGCC